GACGGGUGAGUAACACGUGGGUAACCUGCCUGUAAGACUGGGAUAACUCCGGGAAACCGGGGCUAAUACCGGAUGCUUGAUUGAACCGCAUGGUUCAAUUAUAAAAGGUGGCUUUUAGCUACCACUUACAGAUGGACCCGCGGCGCAUUAGCUAGUUGGUGAGGUAACGGCUCACCAAGGCAACGAUGCGUAGCCGACCUGAGAGGGUGAUCGGCCACACUGGGACUGAGACACGGCCCAGACUCCUACGGGAGGCAGCAGUAGGGAAUCUUCCGCAAUGGACGAAAGUCUGACGGAGCAACGCCGCGUGAGUGAUGAAGGUUUUCGGAUCGUAAAACUCUGUUGUUAGGGAAGAACAAGUACCGUUCGAAUAGGGCGGUACCUUGACGGUACCUAACCAGAAAGCCACGGCUAACUACGUGCCAGCAGCCGCGGUAAUACGUAGGUGGCAAGCGUUGUCCGGAAUUAUUGGGCGUAAAGCGCGCGCAGGCGGUUUCUUAAGUCUGAUGUGAAAGCCCCCGGCUCAACCGGGGAGGGUCAUUGGAAACUGGGGAACUUGAGUGCAGAAGAGGAGAGUGGAAUUCCACGUGUAGCGGUGAAAUGCGUAGAGAUGUGGAGGAACACCAGUGGCGAAGGCGACUCUCUGGUCUGUAACUGACGCUGAGGCGCGAAAGCGUGGGGAGCGAACAGGAUUAGAU
rnacentral:rRNA from 1 species